UACGUAGGGGGCAAGCGUUGUCCGGAAUCAUUGGGCGUAAAGAGCGUGUAGGCGGCCCGAUAAGUCCGCUGUGAAAGUCCAGGGCUCAACCCUGGAAUGCCGGUGGAUACUGUCGGGCUCGAGUUCGGAAGAGGUGAGUGGAAUUCCUGGUAUAGCGGUGAAAUGCGUAGAUAUCGAGAGGAACACCUGCGGCGAAGGCGGGUUGCUGGGCUGAUACUGACGCUGAAGCGCGAAAGCCAGGGGAGCGAACGGG
rnacentral:rRNA from 1 species